rnacentral:rRNA from 1 species
CGAUAAGGGCGUUUGGUGGAUGCCUUGGCAGCAAGAGGCGAUGAAGGACGCGAUACCCUGCGAUAAGCUUUGGGGAGCCGGGAAUAGGCUUUGAUCCAAAGAUCUCCGAAUGGGGAAACCCACCUGAAUGCUGGUUAUUGUCACCCAUGCGGUGUCAAUAACCGACAUGACCAGGUACUUAUAGGCUGAAUCCAUAGGCUUAUAAGAGCGAACCCGGGGAACUGAAACAUCUAAGUACCCGGAGGAAAGGACAUCAAUUGAGACUCCGUUAGUAGUGGCGAGCGAACGCGGACCAGGCCAGUGGCAAUAGUAAGAAAAGCGGAAGCGUCUGGAAAGUCGUGCCGUAGUGGGUGAUAGCCCCGUACGCGUUAAUCGAUCUAUUGUCCUCGAGUAGGGCGGAACACGUGAAAUUCUGUCUGAACAUGGGGGGACCACCCUCCAAGCCUAAGUACUCGUGCAUCACCGAUAGCGAACCAGUACCGUGAGGGAAAGGUGAAAAGCACCCCGACGAGGGGAGUGAAACAGUUUCUGAAACCGGACGCCUACAAGCAGUCGGAGCCCGCAUGACGGGUGACGGCGUACCUUUUGUAUAAUGGGUCAACGACUUGGUCUGUCUAGCAAGCUUAAGCCGUUAGGUGGAGGCGCAGCGAAAGCGAGUCUUAAAAGGGCGACAGAGUUAGACGGAUCAGACCCGAAACCAGAUGAUCUAGCCAUGUGCAGGAUGAAGGUUGGGUAACACCAACUGGAGGUCCGAACCGACACCCGUUGAAAAGGGUCCGGAUGACGUGUGGCUAGGGGUGAAAGGCCAAUCAAAUCUGGAGAUAGCUGGUUCUCCGCGAAAGCUAUUUAGGUAGCGCCUCGAUUGUAUUCUCCCGGGGGUAGAGCACUGCAUGGAUGAUGGGGGCCCACAGCCUUACUGAGUCUAAGCAAACUCCGAAUACCGGGAAGAACUGAUCGGGAGACACACGGCGGGUGCUAACGUCCGUC